rnacentral:lncRNA from 1 species
UGCAGAGUACACGGGGUGGAGGAAGUCCUGUGAACCGGUAGCUGAAGUCUUUGAUAAAUGACAGGGCAGGACCUGCAAGUCCAGUAAUGACAUCAGGGAGUGCGUGGAGGGUCCAAGACAAAAAAAGCAGGGCCUGAAGGGAGGAGGGUCUUCUCCCAGCCUGGGAGGUGAGGGGAUUGGUUUCCCCAUAAUACAGGAACAAGCCAAGACCCAGGAGGGUAAGCAAUGUGUCAUGAUUUGCAGAUGGUAAGUGGCAGAGUGGGGACUUGCAGCUCUCCUGCACCAAAUCCUGUGUUACUCGUGAGUACAGUCGCUGAGCUUGAACUUGGGUGGGUGCCCUGCCCCAGAAUCUCACUUCUCUCCACCUCAAGCUCGAAGCCCCUGCUUUGCUGGAGGAGGGUCUGUCAUGAAUCUCAGGAGAGUGCUUAAGAGCACCAAGACAGGCCCGACUGACCGCCAUGUGGCCCUGAGUCCAGCCGUGCAUACAGUGAGAAUACGAAGCACCAAUAACGUCACCGGGAGAAAGAGGAGGAAAAAAGACGCUGCUAACUCACCGCGAGGCAGAGGGCAAGUACAGACAAGAUUUGCAGAGACCGCAAGGCAGGCAAGGAAAUCAACUUCUAAGAGGGUAACAGGGUCCAAAAUGGCAGCGUCUGUCUUGUUUCUCCCGGUUUCCACCCCAGUGCACAGCCUGGGAGGGGAGCAGCUGGAACGGAGAUCCUGA